rnacentral:snRNA from 1 species
AUCGCUUCUCGGCCUUUUGGCUAAGAUCAAGUGUAGUAUCUGUUCUUAUCAGUUUAAAAUGAUUAUUCUGUGAUUUUUAUUUGCACCUAAAGAAGCUUUAAUAAAAAUAGUGAUUACCUUUACCAACAAAAUAAGAAGGAAAAUCUUAGAGUCU